rnacentral:rRNA from 1 species
GACGAACGCUGGCGGCGCGCUUAACACAUGCAAGUCGAACGGAAAGGCCCUGCUUUUGUGGUGUGCUCGAGUGGCGAACGGGUGAGUAACACGUGAGUAACCUGCCCUUGACUUUGUGAUAACUUCAGGAAACUGGGGCUAAUACCGGAUAGGAGCUCCUGCUGCAUUGUGGGGUUUGGAAAGUUUCGGCGGUUGGGAUGGACUCGCGGCUUAUCAGCUUGUUGGUGGGGUAGUGGCUUACCAAGGCUUUGACGGGUAGCCGGCCUGAGAGGGUGACCGGCCACAUUGGGACUGAGAUACGGCCCAGACUCCUACGGGAGGCAGCAGUGGGGAAUAUUGCACAAUGGGCGGAAGCCUGAUGCAGCAACGCCGCGUGCGGGAUGACGGCCUUCGGGUUGUAAACCGCUUUCGCCUGUGACGAAGCGUGAGUGACGGUAAUGGGUAAAGAAGCAGCGGCUAACUACGUG